rnacentral:rRNA from 1 species
GACGAACGCUGGCGGCGUGCUUAACACAUGCAAGUCGAGCGAUGAAGUUUCUUCGGAAAUGGAUUAGCGGCGAACGGGUGAGGAACACGUGAAGAAUCUGCCCUCCACUUUGGGAUAACACCGGGAAACCGGUGCUAAUACCGAAUAUUGAAACAUAAGUGGCAUCACUGAGUUUUGAAAGAAUUUCGGUGGAGGAUGACUUCGCGGCCUAUCAGCUAGUUGGUGAGGUAAUGGCUCACCAAGGCAACGACGGGUAGCCGGCCUGAGAGGGCGACCGGCCACACUGGGACUGAGACACGGCCCAGACUCCUACGGGAGGCAGCAGUGGGGAAUAUUGGGCAAUGGAGGAAACUCUGACCCAGCGACGCCGCGUGCGGGAUGAAGGCCUUCGGGUUGUAAACCGCUUUCAGUAGGGAAGAAGCGAAAGUGACGGUACCUACAAAAGAAGCACCGGCUAACUAUGUGCCAGCAGCCGCGGUAAUACAUAGGGUGCAAGCGUUGUCCGGAAUUAUUGGGCGUAAAGAGCUCGUAGGUUGUUUGUUACGUCGGAUGUGAAAACCUGAGGCUCAACCUCAGGCCUGCAUUCGAUACGGGCAAACUAGAGUUUGGUAGGGGAGACUGGAAUUCCUGGUGUAGCGGUGGAAUGCGCAGAUAUCAGGAGGAACACCAAUGGCGAAGGCAGGUCUCUGGGCCAAUACUGACACUGAGGAGCGAAAGUCUGGGGAGCGAACAGGAUUAGAUACCCUGGUAGUCCAGACCGUAAACGGUGGGCACUAGUUGUGGGAACCUUCCACGGUUUCUGCGACGCAGCUAACGCAUUAAGUGCCCCGCCUGGGGAGUACGAUCGCAAGAUUAAAACUCAAAGGAAUUGACGGGGCCCCG